GCACUGCUGAGGAGUCCCACAAUAGGAUGAAACGACCGUCUAGUGC
rnacentral:hammerhead_ribozyme from 1 species